rnacentral:piRNA from 1 species
UGGGAAUGCUGCAAGCAAGUCCUGGGUUC